AGCGAACGCUGGCGGCAGGCCUAACACAUGCAAGUCGAACGAACCUUUCGGGGUUAGUGGCGGACGGGUGAGUAACACGUGGGAACGUGCCUUUAGGUUCGGAAUAACUCAGGGAAACUUGUGCUAAUACCGAAUGUGCCCUUCGGGGGAAAGAUUAAUCGCCUUUAGAGCGGCCCGCGUCUGAUUAGCUAGUUGGUUGAGGUAAUGGCUCACCAAGGCGACGAUCAGUAGCUGGUCUGAGAGGAUGAUCAGCCACAUUGGGACUGAGACACGGCCCAAACUCCUACGGGAGGCAGCAGUGGGGAAUCUUGCGCAAUGGGCUAAAGCCUGACGCAGCCAUGCCGCGUGAAUGAUGAAGGUCUUAGGAUUGUAAAAUUCUUUCACCGGGGACGAUAAUGACGGUACCCGGAGAAGAAGCCCCGGCUAACUUCGUG
rnacentral:rRNA from 1 species